AUACGACAGAUCAAGGCAACAACAAAAACGUGCACAUAAGACAAAACAAAGAAUGAUAGUGAAUACAAGUGAUUUGGCAGCACACCUUCAAUUGAAGCACACAGUCAAGACAACUAUGACAUACAUAGCAUAGGCAUUACAUUUGAGGGUACGUCGUAACUGUGGUCCUAGAGAGAGUGAGAGUGGUCCUAUAGAGAGAGAGGUCCUAGAGAGAGAGAGAGGUCCUAGAGAGAGAGAGAGUGGUCCUAGAGAGAGAGAGAGUGGUCCUAUAGAGAGAGUGAGAGGUCCUAUAGAGAGAGAGUUGUCCUAUAGAGAGAGAGUUGUCCUAUAGAGAGAGAGUUGUCCUAUAGAGAGAGUGGUCCUAUAGAGAGAGAGUGGUCCUAUAGAGAGAGUGUGGUCCUAUAGAGAGUGGUCCUAUAGAGAGUGGUCCUAUAGAGAGUGGUCCUAUAGAGAGUGGUCCUAUAUAGAGAGUGGUCCAUGGGUAAGUCACCUGGUUGGAGAACUGGUUCCAGUUCCACAUGCUCAACUUAAAUGAUUGAAU